GGUUAGAACAAUCGGAGAAAGAUAUAUUUUUGGAUAUUGCAUGCUUCUUCAAAGGAGAAGACAAAGAUAUGGUAACCAAAAUUCUCGAUGGUUGUGGCUUUUUCCCGGAUAUUGGAAUAGAUGUUCUCAUCAAGAAAUCUCUUGUAACAAUUGAUGAAGACAACAAAUGUCGAUGCACGUCUUGUUACAAUAGAUGGGAAGGAAAAUUGUUUACCAAGAAUCUCCUAAUGAACCUGGAAAACGUAGUAGAUUGUGGGAGGAAAAUGAUACUAAUUAUGUGCUAAUAGAAAACACUGUAAGCCUUUAGCACUAUUAACUGUUACUCCACCCUUGAAUAUUUGUUGAUUCAUACGAUACUAGGAUGCAAGUCUAGCUUUGAACUAUUUUUGGACGUGCAUUGCAGUGUUAAGUCAUUAAAUUUACCGUAUUAAUUAGUUGAUUGCUCUGAUUUUCAGGCAACGGAAGCUGUUCAAGGUCUAGUCAUCGAUUCUAUCAGGUGUAAAUUCAUACACCUAUCUGUGUAUAUGUAGUUGAUUACUCUGUAUAUUGUAAAGCUCAUUCCUCUUUUUCCUUGGUGGUUAUCAGGAAACAGAACACUUGGACUUUGAGUGCUGAUGCCUUUUUGACGAUGAACAGGCUAAGACUGCUCCGAGUCUUCAAUGUUCCGAAUUCUCGUGGUUUCAAAUAUCUUAGUAACUAGUUAAGGCUUUUAUAAUGGCAUGGAUAUCCUUUCAAAUCCUUCCCUUCAAGCUUCCAACCGGAGAACCUUGUUGCACUUCUUCUGCCUUAUAGCCGCAUUGAAAAGUUCUGGAAGCCAAACAUGGUAAGAGUUACUUUGUUACAUUGAAAAGUUGUUGCAAGCUGAGUUUCUAUUUCUUAAAAGUUUUUAUUUUUAUAAUUGUUACGCUCUUAUGAUCACUAACCCGAAGACCAAAUAAGGUUCGGGUCUCCUACUUGAGACCUAAAUAGGGCUCACUAGAUGGAUACGGGCAAGCCUUAUAGUAUGAAGCUCACAAGAGGUGUUCACAAGAGGAGCUCAUGGAUCCUGCUCACUCAUGAUAGGGGGUGUUCGCAAGGGGAGCUCGCGAUCUCAACUCGCAGAUGCCCAAGGAGUGUCCAGCAGGCAACCCAAAACAAUACACGUUUCCAGCAUGCAUAGAGUUUGCUAGGAACGUCAAUUCUAUGAACAUAAGCUAUGCAUAUAAAUAUUCUAUUGUCCCCUCUAAUGAGACAUAAUGAAAAUUUACUUAACAAUUGGUGCGGUGAGCGUGGACAAAUUUCCAACCGAUAGAUUUCUUUCAAGUUUGAGAGAAAUUACCAGAAGUGAAGAUGGUUCACCCAAAUAAGAAUUUACCUUUCAAUCUUUCGUCGAGACAGGUUGUAGCCUCGAGUUCUAGUAGUUAACCUAAUGAAGCAGAUUUGUUUGCCGAUCAACCGGAGAACUUUGACAAUGCGGCCUAUCAGGGAGUUUCCGGUCCAUUGGGCUUGAACAUAUCCACUGGUUGCGGGUUGCCACUCCCUCCCAACUAAUAAGCAUUGUCACAAUAGUUCCUUGCUCUCCAGGAGUAGAUGAAGUUAAUGAAAGAUCAAAUGGUUGCGCAAGAGGAAUGGUUCGAGCAACAAUAGACUUUUCAGCAAGAGUUAUUGAAAUAGAAUAAAGAGUUAAGAAGGAAGGUAAGCUCUGACACUUCUAAUUUUUAUGACAAUGUGAGUGCACAGGACAAAGCUUCAAGUAUGCAUGCAAGAGAAUAGCGAAACGAGAUGGAUGAAUUGCAACGGGACGUGAGAACGUUAUAACAAUCCAUUGGCCCCUGAGAUAGCAACAGUGAACUUGUCGCGUGAUUUUAAAGUCCCAAAGGACAUGUUUGAAAGGAGAAAAGACCUGUGAGCCCAUUUAAGGCAAUACAAUUAUUAUAGCUGAGAGCAUUGGAUUCGGAAAAGUGCAAAGCUUUUUUCACGACACUGAAAGGGAGUGCGAAAGAUUGGUACUUUUCCUUUUCUCAAGACUCAGUUCAAAGUUUUUCUCAAUUAGGCCAGAUGUUCUUGGGAAGAUUCAGGCUCCACAAGGCAACCAUGAGCACGCCUACGGGGUUAAUGUCAAUGAAACAAAGGGAAUGAGAGUCUCUCCAAAAUUAUGUGAAGCGAUUUCAUGCGACGAAUUUAAACACGAAGAAUUUGAAGGAUCAGUAGGCUAUCGAUACUUUUAUCAUGGGGGCAGAAAAUGAUCAUGUACAAUACUCUUUUGCCAAUAACAGGCCACGGAGUUUGGCAGAUCUUUACGAGCGAGCCUACAAGUUCAUAGAGGCAGAGGAGAUUAAAAGGGUAUCGCAUAGCACUGUUCAGAUGGAAGACAAUUAGUUUAGAAACUGAGAGGCAACUCGCAGUAAACAAGGCCCUCCUAGCCAGACAUUACGAGCAAGAGGUGAUAGCUAGCAAAGAAAUCAGAUGCAAGGUGAUUCUCUUAGGGCUCUCUAGAGGUUUCAACUAGAGCAUACUAGGAAGUACAUUCCCUAAGGUGUGUUUGAAGUUUACACUCAUUUUAAUGCUACCCAUUCUUACAUUCUGAACCAGGUAAAAUGUCUUGGUAUCCUGCCCUAGCCAUCUCCAAUGAGGUAUAGUACAAUGAGGUCCAACUCGAGAGACAGAUGUGCCUUCUACAAUGAUGUUGGACACUAAAAUAAGGAUUGUUUCACCCUAAAGGAUGCAAUUGAAGAAGUAGUGAAAAACGGCGAGCUUGCCAAGUUUGUUGAUCAAGGUGUUUCCCAGUAAGGUCAAACUUCAUAUGGUGAUCCCAAGGGUAAACAGAAGGUUAAAGGUACCAUCCAUGUAAUUAUAGGAAUAGAUAAAAAGUGGGUAGGUUUUAGUGCAAAAAAGAAUGCGCAGAUGAGAAGUGUGAUGUCUAUUAGCACCCCUAAAAGGUCAUAUUAGCAGGGAGAAUAGAGCGUUGAAUUUGGUAAUGAUGAUGAGGAGUUGGUAUUUGACGAAGAGGGUAAUGAUCUUAUGGUUUUGUCUACAACAAUAGUAGGUUUUAAGUUUAAAAGGAUACUUGUAGACAGUGGUAGUGUAGUAAAAGUGUUAUCUUGGGAAGCAUAUCAGAAGAUGGGGCUAAAGGAGCAAGCAUUGUCCAAAGCUAGCCCACUAUAUGGUUUUGCAAACCAUCCUAUUGAGGUAAAAGGCUCGACCACUUUACCUGUCACCUUGGGGAUGACAAGCACACAACUACGGAGCAUGUCUAGUUCUUUGUUCUAGACCAUCCCAUGGAGUACAAUGCUAUUUUUGGGCGACCAAUAAUUAAACUCUUUAAUUAACUCCAGGACUAGCCUUCAUACUCGAUCAACUUAGGAUCCCCUGUCUCCCAUUCACCUUUGAGUUGAUAGAUUACUAAUGUAAAAUCCCCAUAUACCUCUAGUAUUUUGAUAUUGAGUUCUAUAGCUACACGGAUACCGAUGAUGGAUGCCUUGUAUUCUGCCAUAUUGUUCGUGCAAUUAAAAUCCAAUUUACUAGUAAAGGGAUAGUGAUCUUUGUUUGGGGAUACUAAGACAGCCCCAAUUCCGUUACCCAUAGUGUUGGAGGCCCCAUCAAAGUUUAGUUUCCAGGGAUGUUCUUUUUGAGCACCUUCUUUAGUAGUUGCAACAUACAUCAGAUUUUUAUUUGAGAAAUCGAAAUUCAAAGGCUCAUAAUCUUUUAGAGCUCUACUGGCUUUCUAGUUGCAACAUACAUAAUUUUUAUUUGAGAAAAUCUGCUAUUGGACUCCCUUUUAUUGCUUUCUGGUUCACAUAGGCUAUAUCAAAUUUGGAAAAUAGAAUUUGCCAUCGAGUCAUUCUUCCAUUCAGAGCAAUCGACUCCAUCACAUACUUUAGAGGGUCCAUCAUUUAGAUUACCCAUGUUGUAUGGUACAACAUGUAUUGUCUUAGUCUCAGGGUUGUCCAGAUUAAGGCGCAAUACAACUUCUCAAUUGGCAAAUAUCUUGUUUCUCAUUCAUUAAACUUCUUACUGAGGUACUAUAUCGCUCUUUUCUCCCUGACUCAUCAUGUUGGCCAAGUACGCAUCCCAUGGAAUUUCCAAUAUUGCCAAGUACAAUAUUAGUGGCUUUUUUGGGUAAUGUGGCAUCAGCACUGGGGAUUUAGACAAGCAAUGUUUGACCUUGUCGAAAGUCUUCUGGAACUCCUCAUCCCAUAUGCCUGGAUUGUGUUUCAUAAGGAGAUGGAAUAUGGGGUUGCAUUUCUCAAUUAGUUGUGAAAUGAACCAGACGAUAUAAUUUAGUCUUCCUAGGAAACCUUGAACUUCUUUUUGAAUGCGUGGCAGAGGCAACUCAUAUAUAGCUUUAACUUUAGAUGGGUCGAUCUUGAUCCCUUUUUCACUAACUACAAACCCUAGCAAUUGUCCUGCCCUAGCCCUGAAGGUACAUUUUGCUGGAUUGAGAUUUAGCUGGAAUUUUCUCAACCUCAAAAAUAAUUUCCUCAAGACUUGCAUAUGCUCUUUUUUUGUUCUGGAUUUUGAGAUCAUAUCAUCGACAUAAAUCUCAAUUUCUUUAUGCAUCAUAUCAUGAAACAAGGUUACCAUGGCUCUUUGAUACGUCACUCUCACAUUUUCAGUCCGAAUGGUAUCACUUUAUAGCAGAAUGUUCCCCAUAUAGUUACGAAUGUCGUCUUUUUCAUGUCUUCUUAAGGAUGCAUCUUUAUCUAGUUGUAACUGGAAAAGCCAUCCAUGAAGAAGAACAGUGAGUAACCUGCCGUGUUGUCCACUAAGGUGUCAAUGUGAGGCAAUAAGAAAUUAUCUUUUGGGUUGGCCUUGUUUAAAUCCCUAUAGUCUACACACAUUCAUACUUUCCCAUCUUUCUUAGGAACGGGGACAAUAUUAGCUACCUAUUAUGAGUAUUUAACCACUUGUAGGAAACCAGCGUCGAAUUACUUCUUAACCUCUUCUUUUAUUUUCAGCAAGACGUCAGGCCUCAUCCUUCUGAGCUUCUGUUAAACUGGCUUGCACUCUUCCUUUAUGGGGAGUCGGUGUACCACGAUAUUAGUGUUUAGCCCAGGCAUAUCUUGAUAUGACCAUGCGAAUACAUCUUUGAAUUCUUGGAGCAACUCAAUGGGGUUUUACUUUGUCUUUGCGGUGAUACAAGCUCCGAUCUUCAUCUCUUUCUCUUCUCCUAAGCUCACAAUUUCUACUGAUUCUUUGUGAGGUAGGAUUUGUUUCUCAUCUUGUUCUACCAUCCUUAACAAAUUAGGAGAUAGGUUACAAUUUCGAUCAUCUUCAAAGUCCUGAAGUUCCUCUAAACACAUAUCUUACUCAAAAGGAGAUUCUGAGUUAGUAAUGAUGUCGCUCAUAUCAUUGAUAUCUGGAGACCUGUUAUAUGAACGAAGAAAGACCCAAAAAACAAAUGAAUCUAAGAAUAAUCAUUUGUGUGGUAUGAGUAUGAAUGAAAUGGAAGAAAUAAAAGAAUAUUUGCCAAAAUGAAACACAAAUAUGCAUUUUAUUAAAAUCAAGCUAUUGGACAUAUGCCUAUUUCACAAAAGGAUUCUUAUUGCUCACGGGCUUAGAGCAAUAAGUGUGCUUUGAACAUUACUCUGAAUUAGUUCUAAAAAUUGCAAGGAUCUUUUUCAAUCUAAUUGUUCAAAACACUUUCGAGGAUAUAAGGACAAAUGUCUGACAGGUUUUCUUCCCUAAUUCUUUAUUUGGAUUUGGUGUUCAUGCUUAGAUUUCCCAACAUUCCUUCCAGUCCUUUGACCUCUUCAAAGAAUUCCAACUCUUUGUUAUCCAUUAGACUUUGUACCAAAGCUUUGAAUUUAUCACACUCUUGGAUUCCAUGACCUUCUUUAGCGGGGAACUCGCAGUAGCUCCUCACUUCUUUAGGUUUCUCCUCUGAAUCUUGCAUGAUUAUCCUCCGUCUAUCAUCUUUUUCCAAACUCAUUUUAGUGAGAUUUUUACUUCCACCACAUCAAUUUUGGUUCUCUUUCCUCCACUUUCAAUUAUCGCGUUUACCCCUUGAUCUGAAUGACUGGGUAACAGAUUUCCUACCACAUUAGGUCCUGAUGGAUCAUCGAACCUAACGAUCCCUAUCUUGAUGAACCUCUUAAUCAACUUUUUAAAUGCAGUACAGUUCUUAAUUAAGUGUCCCGUUAUUCCUACUUGGUACUCGCGUUAAACAUUCACAUCGUACCAUUUUGGGAAUGUAAGUUGCAUGGGUUUUAAGUAAAACAGGGAUACCACAUGCGCAUUGAACAUAUUCUGACAUAACUCCCUAUAUGUCAUCGGGAUAGGUGUGAACUGGAGUUUUUUUGUGUUUGGUAUUGAGUUAGAUUAUUGCCUUGAGGGGCCUUGAUGGCUAGUUUUUACGGUCUUUGGUUGGACUACAGUGACCGUCUUGAAUAACCUUUAUUAUACACGCUCACGUUACUCACUUUAUUUUCCUUAUUCCUCGGGGUUGAUCUUUGGCGUUUUUCCCCGCGUCUAUUUUCUCGCUCCUUACUACAUUUUCAAUCAUCUCACUAGACAUUACUAUAUCUGAGAUACUCUUGGUAGUGCUUCCCAACAUAUGGUUAAUGAACAGAGCUUUCAAAGUAUUUAUGAAAAGUAUUAUUGUCUCUUUCUCCAGAAGAGGCAGUUGGACUAGCGUUGCCACCUCUCUCCAUCUUUGAGCAUACUACCUGAAGCUUUCACUCUGCUUCUUUUUCAUGUUUUCCAAUGUAAUCCUGUUAGGCAUCAUGUCAGUCACAUGACUGUAUUGUUUCAUUAAAGUCUGUGCCAAAUUUUUUCAUGAGCUUAUUUUGGCACUAUUUAGCUGGUUGUACCACUUGGCAACCGACCCAACCAAACUCUCUUAGAAGCAGUAAAUUAAAAAUUGGUCAUUAUUGACGUAUCCCGUGAUUCUUCGGUAGAACAUUAUGAUGUGGGCUUCAAGACAACUAAUCUCAUUAUAUUUUUUGAAUUCUUGAGUCUUGAAUUUUAGUGGGAGUACUAGAUCCGGGACUAAACAUAAAUCCUUAGCAUCAACCUCGCAAAGGUAGUCAGCAUUCUCCAUAGCACUAAAUUUCUCCUCCAACCACUUACAUUGAUCUUCUAGUUGUUUUGGCAAUUCUACUCUUGCUCUAUCCAUUUCAGCCAUGUCAUCCAAAUCGAAAAAACUGGGUUGGUCGGAUUAUCCUCGGGAUUGGAAUCUGAACCUGUUAGGUAGUUCACCGGUGCUGAGGUACCGACUUAAUAUUGUUAAGGUAUUAUGGUAACGGGUACACUUCGUGGAUAUGUUUCUGGUUGGGUUUGGACAUUUACUGGGGUAAAGCCUAGGGGAUAUGUAGGGGAAAAGAAAGAAACAGCCAAACAAAAUCAAAUGAAAAUCGAGAAAAUAAAGUUGAAUGUGUCAAAUCUCAGCAAAGUUUUGAAGUUGUAAAUCUCAAAGAGCUUGGAGACUACUGAAGAUUGUACACUUUGACAUAGUAGGUCAUUUUGAUAUACCAUCAGUUGGAGGAAACAUGUAUUUUCUUACCUUUAUUGAUGAUUUUAGUAGAAAAAGUUUGAUAUAUUUUCUCAAAAUAAAAUUAGAAAUACUUAAUAAAUUCAUGGAGUUCAAAACUAUGGUGGAAAAACAAAGUGGACAUUAUAUUAAGAUAUUCAAAACUAAUAACGAGGGCAAGUAUUUAUCAAAACUGUUUAAAAGCUUUUAUAAAGAGCACAUAAUUAUUCACCAAUUGAUAGUUACAUAUACACCACAACAAAAUGGAAUUGCUGAAAGAAAGAAACGUACUAUUCUUGAUAUGGAAAGAAGCAUGGUAAAAGGUAAACAUCUACCUAUAACUUUUUGGGCUAAAGUUGUUCAAUUUGCAGUUUACCUAUUAAUCGAUGCCUAGUAGAAAGUGUGAAAUAUAAUACGCUGAAUAAAGUUUGGAGCGAUCAAAAGCCAUGAGUUGGACAUCUCAAGUUUUUUGGAUGCAUCACAUAUGCUCACAUUCCUAAUUAGACGAGAGUGAAGCUCAAUAAAAAAGGCAUGAAAUGCAUCUUUGUUGGAUAUGAAAAAAGAAGCAAAGCAUAUAAACUACACAACCCUCUCACCAAGAAAGUUAUUAUUUCAAUAAAUUUUGAGUCCAAUGAAACAAAUUACUAAAGAUGGAGCGACAAAGAAAAGUAAAUUGAAGGACUAUUUUUUAGUGAUGAUAAAGAUGAUGACUUCAUCAAUCAAGAUAAAGAAGGUGAUGAUCAAAGCCAUCCACCAAGUCAUAUUGCAACAACUCCUACAACAUCGUCAUCACCAAGUAGUAGUAGUUCAAAGGAAGUGUCUACAAGAAUGUGCAGUCUACACAACAUUUAUAAUGUUGCAGAACCCAUAUAGACAACUCUUGAUUAUUCCUUAUUUUGUUUAAUUACAAAAUGUGAUCCUAUAACAUAUGAAGAAGCAAUUGAAGAUAUCAAAUGAAAUAAGGAAAUGGAUGAAGAAAUUACAACAAUAAGAAGACAUGAUACGUGAGAGUUAACAGGUUUGCUAAAAGGAUACAACCCAGUUGAAGUUAAAUGGGUGUACAAGACAAAGACCAACAAAUAGGGGAAAAUGGAGAGUACAAAGAAAUUCUAGUUGUCAAAGGCUACAAGUAAAGACAUUGAUACGAACUCGCCUCGGUGAUGAGUCAAGUUCAUUGAGCUAGAAUCGAGCUGAUUUAAGCUCAACGAGCUAAAUUUGAGUUAGGUCAGCUUGCGAAAAAUGGCAAGCCUCGCUUGUUGAGCUGAACCAAGGGCGUUCCUGACUGUGAUCGUAUUAGACAUGGAGUGGAUUAUGAUGAAGUGUUUGCUCUAGUAGCCAAAAUCAACACUAUAAGUCUUUUCACAACAAUUACAACACAAAACAAUGGAAGUUUUAUCAAAUGGACGUGAAGUUAUCAUUCCUUAAUAACUACUUAAAAUAAGAAGUUUACAUUGAACAACCACCUAGAUGUAGAAAACAAAGACAAUAAGACAAAUAAAUCGCUUAAAGAAAGCUUUAUAUGGUUUAAAUCAAGCCCCAAGAGCAUAGAACACAAGAAUAGAUGAGUACUUUCAGAAGAAUGAGUUCAUGAAAAGUCUAUAUGAGCAUGCCUUAUAUACGAAGAAAAAUGGAGAUGGUGACAUCAUGAUCGCAUGUUUAUACAUAAAUGAUAUGAUUUUCACAAGAAACAAACCAGGUAUGUUCAAUGACUUUAAGAAAGCUAUGACUAAAGAAUUUGAAAUGACAGAUAUUGAUGAGAUGUCAUGUUUUCUCGGAUGCAAAGUGAAGCAAAUGGAAGAUGAAAAAUUUGUGUAUCAAAAGCAGUAUGUGGAACAAAUCUUAAUCAAAUUCUAAAUGAAAGAUUGCAAGCUAGUAGCCACGCCAGUGGAACCUAGUAUGAAGUUAAGUGUUAAUUCAACUAGAGCCAGUAAAUUCAACAUUAUUUAAAAGCAUCAUUGGAAGUUUAAAGUAUCUGACUAUCGUGCAGAAAAACAUAAUGUAUGCAAGGGGAUUAGUUAGUUGAUUCAUGAAGAAGUCAGAACAAGACCUUCUAAUUGUAGUAAAAAGAAUUUUGAGAUAUGUUAAAAGUACAAUGAAUCAUUGUUUUUACACACAAAGUUCAAAAUUGGUUGGUUAGUCAUAAAAUGAUUAUGGUGGUGACUUGGACUAUCACAAAAGCAUGUCUGGAUAUUUAUUCUAUAGUGGCUCUACAAAAUUUCCAGGGUCAUCAAAAAAGCAUCAAAUAGUAGCCCUCUCAGCAUGUGAAGUAGAAUACACCGCUAUAGUAUGCCCUUAUCAAGCAAUUUGGUUGAAGAAUAUUUUGAGCGAACUAACUCUUAAACAGGAAGGUUCCAUUACAAUUUAUGUUGACAACAAGUCUACAAUAUCUCUUGCAAAGAAUCUUGUGUCCCAUAGCCAAAGCAAGCUCAUUGAUACAAAGUAUCACUUUAUUUGAGAGUUGGUGAAGAAUAAAAACAUCAAGCUAAUCUACUACAGAAUGAAAGACCAAUUGGUAAACAUUUUACGAAGCAAUUGAAAGAGGGCGUAUUUAACAAACUUAAAAGAAAAACUUGGAAUAAAGAUCUCGGUUUAAGGAGAAAUGUUAGAAGUCAAAGCGACUUCUCAAAGUCGGAAAAGCAUGAAGCUAAGAGUGGCUUUACAAAUUGGUUUAAAACGUGGCAUGAAAUUAGUGGCAAAACAGCAACAUGAAAGCUUGCUGAAAGUUUCUUAAAGAUUGAAAUUGUGUAAUGAUAAGGAUAAACAAAGCAUUAACAGUGGAGCUUAUUGGAUAACCAUGGAUUUGCUCGAAGCUUUACAAGCUUAUUACAACAGCCUUUAAGUCUAUUUAUGUUAUGUUAUAAAUAGCCCUUAUGUUAGUGUGUGUGCAUCACAAGUGAAAGAAAUAGAAAAAAAAAAGGAAUAUUGUGUGUGCAGUAGAAAGUGGCGUGAGUUAGAGUAAAAAGAAACUAGCGGCAACUAGUAAGUGAGAAAUAUAUAUAUAUUUGUAAUUUGCUAUUGUUUGAUAGAUAUUGUGUGAGUAAUAAAGUUGUUUCGAUUGUAAGGGUUAACUACGCUUCCAACAUUUAUCAACUCUGGCCGUAUACAUGGCACACCGUACUCAGCAUGGUUACUAGUCACUCUCGAUCAACAUUACUUAACAAUCCGCAGCUGUUAAGAGGAAUUACCUAUAUUUAGUAUCUUUCCACCUUCAACAUAAUAUAUUUCAAGGCUCUUUGAAUCAUAACCUAGAGACCUUUUUCGAAAAAGAAACUUCGAGAAUUUUCUGUACCUAAUAGAAUUUAAUAACACGUUAUCUACAUCCUCCUGAUCAACCUCAUUAACAAACCCAUUCACACAACUGAAUUCUAGGGUUCCUGUAAAUUUCCCCCAUGGCAGUACCUUUAUUUAAAUUAUCCAAAUCCAGGUAAGCUUUUUUCUUUUGGUUUCCAUCCCCAUUGUGGCUUGUCUCCUUCCUCCAUUUCUAAGUUCUAACCAUCAUCAACGUUGUUCCAAACUUUUUCAAACACUUAUCAAUUUUUUAUAUAAAAAAUUAUUUUUUUUCUUUCUUGGCUAUUUUUUUCCCAAUCAAAUAUUUUUUUAAUAAAAUGAAAAAGAGUCAUGACAAUGAUGUCAUGUUGAAAGCAAACCCCAAAAGUUUUCUGGGUUACCUUAUCUUGAAGGGGCUCUAAAAGAUAAAGGUUUUUAACUGUUUUUUUUUUUAAAGUUAUUCAAGAGUUUCAAUUUCUUUUGUAAAAUAAAAUUUUAUUUCUUGAAUUUUAUUUUAUUUCAGGGUUUUUAUUUUAUCUUCACCGAAUUCAUUUAUGAAUGUGAAGUUGGAUUAUUUAAUUUUUGGAUGUAAAGUUAGAUUUCUAAGUUGGUAUUAUCAAUAAAAAGAUAUUUUUAUGGAAGGAAGUAAGGAUAAUGUUAAGGAGAAAUUUCUUCAUGAAAAUUUUCUUCCUUUCAUUUUUCUAAGUAGAUUGAGAUAGAGUGGGAUGGAUUUGAGUGAAAAAGAAAGGUUGAUGUGUAAGGCAUAAUAAUAUAUAUAUAUAUAUAUAAAUAUUUUUUAUAUAUAAUUUCUUCCCCUAUACAUUAUAGAUGCUACAUAAUCUAUUGCUAAUAACAUUAUAUUACAACAUUAUAGCAUUCACCAAAAACUUAACUAAAGAUAUGAAGAUAUUUUUUCUCCAAGCUGUUUGCUUUUUAUUUUUUGUUUUGUUCAACGGUGGUGUCAACCUUCGGGCUGGCUAUUGCCUAUCUAUUUCUUCUCCCAUUAACCUUUUCUUUCUUCCUUCUUCUCAUCCACUAUACAUGUCUUCUCUCUUUUCAGUUUAUAGAUAUAUUUUGUGGGUAUCUUUAUUGUCUUCACAAGUUGUGAUGGACAGAUGACGGUGACUGUCGUUCAUUAAAACCCCACUAACCACUAGUAAUUUUUAUUAGAAUGUGGGUGGUUCUUCGUCAACUUCUUAAUAUGUUUCUGUUUUGAGAGUUUUUUAAAUUAAUAAAUGACUUCACGUGUCAAUUUGGAUCCGUAUUAUCUUAAGUUUUAUAUUUUUUUGUUCGUUUUUUUAUUGUUUAAUACAUAUUCAGUUUUAGAAGUUUUUGUCUGCUCUUGUAGCACAUUUUUUUAGUCUUGCUUAUGCAUGUAAUCUUAGUUUUACAAGUGAUUUUAAGGAUGAUUUUGUUGUCGUCCUCUCUAGUUUGAUGAAUGCUCGAUCCUUUUGUCGAUUUUUGCUCGAUGUUUUGGACCAUUCGACGCUGAUUUUCUUAUCGUAUUAAGUGCUUGCAAUCAUUCUAGAUAUAUUGUGCUUGAGUUGUGACAAAGUCAAUUGUCAACGUGUCAUAAUAUUCAAUUGAUGCUAAGGCUAAAGCUUUCGUUGUGUUGAUGGAGCUUGUCAUUCACCAUCUACGACGAGUGUUUGCUAUUUUUUCUCUGAAUUGCAUGGUUCCAUUUAUUGAAUAAAUUAAUAAAUUUACCUUUAAAAAGAAAAAGUAAAGAUACGAUGAAAAAGGAACCAUGUGUACCAGGGAAAGUUAAAGCAGUACAUAUAAUUAAGGAACCACAUAAGUUAAUACUAGUCAAUUGUCAAAGACUAGAACAACUUUUUAUGAUUAAAAUAUUUAUUUAGUAAUUGAUUGAUAUAUCGUUUUAUUUAGAGAAUAUAUAGUUUAUUUUUUAAAACAAUAUAAUUUUAAUAUCUUUUUAAAUUACAAAAAAAAGCUCAAACUAAUAAUGAGAAUAAUGGUAAUUAAGUUUAAUUAUUACUAAUAAUGUGAAAUAGUAUGGUAAGAAGCACUUAAUCAAUAUAUUCAAAAUGUGUUGGAUUUGUGGGAUUCUUAUAAUUGAGUGAGAAAAGAAAAAGAAAGAAACAGAAUCAAAUGAAAAUAGAGAAAAUAAAGUUGAAUGUGUCAAAAACAAGUAGAAUGCUUUUUCUUUUCAACGUUAAUUUCAUGUGAAUUACUAUUCCUUCAACUUGGUUUGUCUUUUGCAAUCAUUACAAUAUUGAUAAUCAAGUUUAUUGUAGAUUAAUCAUUAAUCUCUAGUAGAAGAGCCUAGUUACUACUACUCACUCUCCAUCAACUUUCCUCCAAAUAUAGCACUUCUUAAUGUUUGUUUUGAGAAACUACCUCUCUUCUUUUGUUCUCAGUUUGUUUAGAGGUGUGUUAAUUGGCCAGCCUUUCUGCGACAAAAAAGAAUCUUGAAAAUCUCCAAGUACCAAGUAAAUCCCAUCGAUUUCUUCAACUUAGCUACUAAGUUCCAAUGGUUAGAUUCGAUAAUGAGACAUCCUCCUCUUCCUCCUCCUCAUCAUCAUCAUUGGAAUCAUCUUCUUCAGUUUCUCGAGGGAAAUAUGAUGUUUUCUUGAGUUUCAGAGGUGAGGAUACCCGCAGAAAUUUCACGGAUCAUCUUUAUGCUGCAUUCAAAAGGAGAGGAAUCACCACUUUUAGGGAUGACGAAAAGCUCGAGACAGGUGAACCCAUAGCACCUGAGCUCUUCAAAGCAAUUCAUGAGUCAUGGUGCUCCGUAAUCGUUUUGUCGGAAGGGUAUUGUUUCUCGAGUUGGUGCCUACAAGAGCUUUCCGAGAUUAUUCAACAGAAAAACGACAAGGGACAUAAAGUCUUCCCUAUUUUCUAUUAUGUGGAGCCAUCUGAUUUGAGAAAACAAACCGGAAAAGUUCUAGAAGCUUUUCUUAAGCAUGAAAAUAAUUUCCAGGACAACAAAGAGAAGACACUAAGGUGGCGAUCUGCUUUAACUCAAGUAGCUAACAUCAAAGGAUGGCACUUGAGUAACAGGUAACUAUCAUAUUCUUUCACUUCAAUAAUAUCUUACCAGCAUCAAGUUUGAAAUUUGAGGCAUUAGCUAAGGAUUGUGCCCUUAAAGUUUCACUAAGCUAUUUCCUUUGCUUUGUAUUUGAAGGCAUGAAUCAGAACUUAUUGGAGAAAUCAUUGAAAAGGUAUCAACAAAAUUAUGUCAAACGUUUGCAAGUGCUCCUACUGACAUGAUUGAAAUUGAAUCACGUUUGGAAGAGUUAAAUUGCAAAAUAGGCAUAGGGGAGGAAGAUGAUAGUGUUCGGAUUAUAGGGAUUUGUGGUAUGGGCGGGUUAGGUAAAACAACUCUUGCAAGAUUUGUUUAUACCCAAAUUUCAAGUCAUUUUGAAGGCCAAAGCUUUCUGGCCGAUGUUCGUGAAGUUGCGGAGAAACAUGGACUUGUUUAUUUGCAGAAACAACUUCUUUACCAAAUAUUUCCAGAGGAAAGUUUCAAGUUUUUUAAUGUUCAUGAUGGGAAUGACAUCAUAAGUCGUAUGUUAUCUCAUAAAAAGAUUUUUGUUGUUAUUGAUGAUGUGGGUAACAUACAACACUUAAAAUGUUUGAUAGGCAGGCGAGCUUGGUUUGGUUUAGGAAGCAGGAUCAUCAUAACAACAAGAGACGAGCAUCUGCUGCAAAUCUACGGAGUGGAUGAUGUGUAUAAUCCGACGAAAUUGAAUGCCAAGNNNNNNNNNNNNNNNNNNNNNNNNNNNNNNNNNNNNNNNNNNNNNNNNNNNNNNNNNNNNNNNNNNNNNNNNNNNNNNNNNNNNNNNNNNNNNNNNNNNNNNNNNNNNNNUCUUGAAGUUUUUGGUUCUUUUCUGUCUGGCAGAUCAGAUGAAGCUCAAUGGAGAAGUGCUAUUGAAAGACUUAAAAAGGAGUCCAACAAAGAAAUUCUAGACAGGCUUCAAAUAAGCUUUGAUGGGUUAGAAAAAUCGGAGAAAGAUAUAUUUUUGGAUAUUGCAUGCUUCUUCAAAGGAGAAGACAAAGAUAUGGUAACCAAAAUUCUCGAUGGUUGUGGCUUUUUCCCGGAUAUUGGAAUAGAUGUUCUCAUCAAGAAAUCUCUUGUAACAAUUGAUGAAGACAACAAAUUGUCGAUGCAUGACUUGUUACAAGAGAUGGGAAGGAAAAUUGUUUACCAAGAAUCUCCUAAUGAACCUGGAAAACGUAGUAGAUUGUGGGACGAAAAGGAUACUAAUUAUGUGCUAAUAGGAAACACUGUAAGUCUUUAGCACUAUUAACUGUUACUCCACCCUUGAAUAUUUGUUGAUUCAUACGAUACUAGGAUGCAAGUCUAGCUUUGAACUAUUUUUGGACGUGCAUUGCACUGUUAAGUCAUUAAAUUUACCGUAUUAAUUAGUUGAUUGCUCUGAUUUUCAGGCAACGGAAGCUGUUCAAGGUCUAGUCAUCGAUUCUGUCAGGUGUAAAUUCAUACACCUAUCUGUGUAUAUGUAGUUGAUUACUCUGUAUAUUGUAAAGCUCAUUCCUCUUUUUCCUUGGUGGUUAUCAGGAAACAGAACACUUGGACUUUGAGUGCUGAUGCCUUUUUGACGAUGAACAGGCUAAGACUGCUCAGAGUCUUCAAUGUUCCGAGUUCUCGUGGUUUCAAAUAUCUUAGUAACGAGUUAAGGCUUUUAGAAUGGCAUGGAUAUCCUUUCAAAUCCUUCCCUUCAAGCUUCCAACCAGAGAACCUUGUUGCACUUCUUCUGCCAUAUAGCCGCAUUGAAAAGUUGUGGAAGCCAAACAUGGUAAGAGUUACUUUGUUUGAUCAAUUAAUUUUGACCAAGAUAACAUAAACACAAAAUACCCAAAAUAAAAUGGCAUUUAAUCUUUGGUUUUCUGUUUCAUUUUUUUCUUUUACAGCCUUUAGAUAAGUUAAAAUUGGUCGUGUCGAUGCUACGCUGAUCUAUGUGAAAACACCAGNNNNNNNNNNNNNNNNNNNNNNNNNNNNNNNNNNNNNNNNNNNNNNNNNNNNNNNNNNNNNNNNNNNNNNNNNNNNNNNNNNNNNNNNNNNNNNNNNNNNCUGGAAGGUACUGGAAUAGUAGAUAUUGAUCCUACCGUAAAGUUUCUAAGGAGGCUGAAGCUUUUGAAUUUAAGAAACUGCAAGAGACUUAGGAUUUUCCCAUCCAAAAUUGGGAAUGGAUCUCUACAAACAUUAAUUCUUUCAGGUUGCUCAAAUAUAGACAGGAUUCCAGAGAUUGUGGGGGAAAUGGAAUGUCUGAAAGAGCUUUGUUUGGAUGGGACUGGUAUUAAAGAACUUCCCUCUUCAAUUGGACAUCUCAGGAGUCUUAUGUUGCUAAAUUUGAAAGAUUGCAGUAAGCUUGAGAGUCUCCCAAGCAGCAUAGGUGGGUGUGAAUUCCUUAAAACUCUUCUUCUCUCUGGCUGCUCUAAACUUAAAAAUUUUCCAGAGAGUUUGCGACAACUAGAAUCUUUGGAGGAGCUUAACCUGAGUGAGACUGCCAUAAUGACACCACCAUCCUUCAUCUUUCAUUUGAAAAAUCUCAAGUUUCUUUCUUUCCAAGGAUGCAAGGGACCACCGUAUAGAGUACGAUCACAUUGGCGUUUUAUUUCUAGGCCCACACCAAGACUUAGUACGAACUCUAUGACCUUGAACCUACCUGUUAUUUUGUCUGGUUUGAGUUCUUUGAAGGAGUUGAAUUUAGAUGACUGCAACCUUAAUGAUGGGGCUAUUCCUAAUGAUAUUUGCAGCUUGUCCUCGUUGGAAAUUCUACGGCUUAGUGAUAACAAUUUCAUCACCCUACCUGCAACUCUUAGUCGACUUUCCAAGCUUACUAGUCUAGUACUGACUGACUGUAAAAGGCUUAAAUCAUUGCCCGAGCUACCAGCAAGCAUAAAAUUAUGGUUAGAUGGUUGUGGUUCACUGGAAGCAGUUGCAAAUUCGACUACAGCUUUCAAUUCACGGGUUGAUGGAUAUAUUUGUGCUUUUAACUGCUUCAAAUUGGCAGAGGGUAACGAUGCAGUAACAAUGCUGAAGACACGGCUGAAGGUUAGUACCUUUAUUUUUUUCUAUUAUUGCUCCCAUUGAUUUAUGGUGCUAGUUUAAGAAAAUGUGUCUUUGUUUGCAGCUAGUAGCAAAUGCAAGAACAGAAAGUUGUUACAUUGUCAUACCGGGAACUGAAAUCCCAAAAUGGUUUAGCAGUCAAACGGAUGACUCUUCAAAAUCUAUAAUAAAGAUGCAAUUGCCUCCCAAUUUUCUGAAUGAUACACAGUUCUUAGGAUUCGCUUUCAGCUGUAUUUUCUUCUCUGACUUCAAUAAUAAACCUCGAAGGGGGGAGCAUAUUUCGUAUACAUUUGUUAUCCAUGGUAGAAAUUUCUCCGGAGAAUUUAAAACAGUCUAUUUUCAUUUAGAAGGUAAAUCUACGAGAGUGACCAAAGACCACCUUUUGAUACAUUAUUUGCCUCGUAAUGGCAUUGAUUUGUUGUCCCUGGAGGAAUUAGAAUGCGAAGAAACUGAGGUUUCUGGAUCCAGCACAGAUAUGUUGAAGGAAAGAUUUGAAAUUGAGGUUGCAUUCGAAAUCUGGGGCAUCAAUUCCAUGGUGAAGAAAUGCGGGGCUCAAAUAGUGUAUGAGGAAGAUUUGGAAGAGAUGGACCAAACCAUACAUGAACAUAGCGGGUCAACUUCUUCAAAUUUUGAUGAUAUGCAUUCAAACAGUGGAUCAAACGGGAAUAAUAAUGGCGCUCUUGUCAAGAGAAAAUGGUUAAGCCUUCACUUAUUUACAGUGAUUGAUAUAUGCUGUUGACUCCUGUUUUAUAAGGCUAAUUUACUUCAUAUCUUCGUGCUUUUCCAGGUUGAAUGCGAAAGCAGGCGAUCAGCGGAACAAAACUCUAUUUUGUGGAAUCUGUCAAUCAUAUGUUGUAAACCAUCGACUUCUCUCCUAGCUUUACAUUGUUUUAUCCAUUUUCUUUCAUAUAGAUUUAUCAUUUUCGGACAACUUGUGUUUCAGUUUUGUUAUAGACGGAAAAUACAAUUGGUUAAACUCAUUUAAUUAGCUAAGUCAGUAGAGUUUUCUCUAUCGGCUUUGUUAUCGAAUUUUUCUGAACUUACUGACUAGUCAUUGAAAUAAAGAGAAAGCAGAGUGAGGAAGAAAAAACUAAGUUCGUUUUCUAAACGACUUGUGGUGCCAUACAUAAAAUUCUUGUUAAAUGUUGAUAUAUUAUCUUAAUUGCUCAGUUAAUAUUAAACAAAUUUAUAUAUAGUUUAAUAAUUUUAGUUAGAAUAUAAUUUUUCGAUAUAAACAUUAAUUCUUUUUUCUAUUUAGGUUGCUUAAUAAAUUUUAUUAUUUUUGAAUAAUGAAAUAAGCUUCAAAGUUAAUCAAGACUAUUCUAUAUUGGGUUUAAUUAAUAAUAGAAAUUUUAAAACAUUGGAUAAUAGCAUAGUCAUUCUAUCGUUGGAUAACAUUUUGAAAUGUGCGUUCAAGAAGAAAUUGAAGCGUAAUCAUUUCCUUCUUUUGAGUAACCAUUGUAUUCUAGGGACAACAUUUUCAGACCAGUUGUGCCACAGUAAAGAGACUAAAUUAAGAAAGCUUCUUGGAAGUGCCUUGCCUAUAGCCUUUCUCAUUACUUAUUCUUUUAGCAUUAUUCUACUUGGUUGUAUUAGUCCAUCCCAAAACCACUAUAUACAACAAUUUUAGGAUACAUAUACUUCAUGAAAAAUGAAGAGUCUAAGGUAACAUAUUGAGAAGUGUAUAGAACCACACUUCAAGGUACAAAACAGAAAAUUUGAAAUUAAAGUUUAAUUACGAGCCAACAAAUUUUUACAUUGCAAGCUAGAGAUUUAUAGUUUGAAUCUCAUUGAUAGAUUAAGCCUAACAUGUUCUUGACAGAUUGGUCAAGUUUGCAAGCCGAGUUUCUAUUUCUUAAAAGUUUUUAUUAUAUAAUUGUUACACUCUUAUGAACACCAACCCGAAAACCAGAUAAGGUUCGGGUCUCCUACCCGAGACCUGAAUAGGGCUCACUAGAUGAAUACGGGCAAGCCUUACAGUAUGAAGCUCACAAGGAGUGUUCGCAAGAGGAGCUCGCGGAUCCUGCUCACUCAUGAUAGGGAGUGUUCGCAAGGGGAGCUCGCGAUCUCAACUCGUCGAUGCCCAAGGAGUGUCCACUAGGCAACCCAAAAUAAUACACGUUUUCGGCAUGCAUAGAGUUUGCUAGGAGUCAAUUCUAUGAACAGAAGCUAUGUAUAUAAAUAUUCUAUUGUCCCCUCUAAUGAGACACAAUGAAAAUUUACUUAACAAUUGGUGCGGUGAGCGUGGACAAAUUUCCAACCGACAGAUUUCUUAAUGAAGAUGGUUCACCCAAAUAAGAAUUUCCCUUUCAAUCUUUCGUCGAGACAGGUUGGAGCCUCGAGUUCUAGCAGUUAACCUAAUGAAGUAGAUUUGUUUGCCGAUCAACUAGAGAACUUCGACAAUGCUGCCUAUCAGGGAGUUUUCGGUCCAUUGGACUUGAACAUAUCCACUGGUUGUGGGUUGCCACUCCUUCACAACCAAUAAGCAUCGUCACAUUAGUUCAUUGCUCUCAAUGAGCAAAUGAAGUUAAUGAAAGAUCAAAUGGUUGCACAAAAGGAACGGUUCGAGCAACAAUAGACUUUUCAGCAAGAGUUAUUGAAAUAGAAUAAAGAGUUAAGAAGGAAGGUAAACUCUGACACUUCUAAUUUUCAUGACAAUGUGAAUGCACAGGACAAAGCUCCAGGUAUGCAUACAAGAGAAUAGCAAAAUGAGAUGGAUGAGUUGCAACGGGACGUGAGAACGUUGCACCCUAAGUCUCAAGACAUGGAUUGACACCAUUUAAUGCAAUACAAUUAUUAUAGCUGAGAGCAUCGGAUUUUAAAAAGUGUAAAGCAUUUUCCACGACACUGAAAGGGAGUGCGAAAGAUUGGUACUUGUCCCUUUCUUAAGGCUCAGUUCAAAGUUUUUCUCAAUUGGGCCAGAUGCUCUUGGAAAGAUUCAGACUCCACAAGGCAACCAUGAGCACGCCUAGGGGUUAAUGUCAAUGAAACAGAGGGAAGGAGAGUCUCUCAAAGAUUAUGUGAAGCGGUUUCAUACAACGAAUUUGAACACGAAGAACUUGGAGGAUCAGUGGGCUAUCGAUGCUUUCAUCAUGGAGGUACAAAAUGAUCAUGUACAAUACUCUUUUACCGAUAACAGGAUAUAAAGUUUGGCAGAUCUGUACCAGCGAGCCUACAAGUUCGUAAAGGCAAAGGAGAUUAAAAAGGUAUCACAUAGUAUUGUUCAGAGGGAAGACAAGCAGUUUAGAAACUGAGAGGCAACUCACAGCAAACAGGGCCCUCCUAACCAGUCAUUGCGAGCAAGAGGUGAUAGCUAGUAGAGAAAUCAGAUGCAAUGUGAUUCUCCCAAGGCUCCCCAGAGAUCUCAACUAGAGCAUACUAGGAAGUACAUUCCCUAAGGUGUGUUUAAAGUUUACACUUAUUUGAAUGCUACCCAUUCUUACAUUCUGAACCAAGAAAAAAGUCUUGGUAUCCUGCCCAAGCCAUCUCCAAUGAGGCAUAGUACAAGGAGGUCCAACUCGAGAGACAGAUGUGCCUUCCACAAUGAUGUUGGACACAAAACUAAGGAUUGUUUCACUCUAAAGGAUGUAAUCGAAGAAGCAGUGAGAAAUGACGAGCUUGCCUAGUUUGUUGAUCAAGGUGUUUCCCAACAAGGUCAGACUUUAGAUGGUGAUCCCAAGGGUAAAUAGAAGGUUAAAGGUACCAUCCAUGUAAUUGUAGGAAUAGAUGAAAAGUGGGUAAGUUCUAGUGCAAAAAAGAAUGCGCAGAUGAGAAGUGUAAUGUCUAUUAACACCCCUAAAAGGUCAUGUCAACAGGGAAGAUAGAGCGUUAAAUUUGGUAAUAAUGAUGAGGAGUUGAUAUGUGACAAAGAGGGUAAUGAUCUGAUGGUUUUGUCUACAACAAUAGUAGGUUUUAAGUUUAAAAGGAUACUUGUAGACAGUGGUAGUGUAGUAGAAAUGUUAUCUUGGGAAGCGUAUCAGAAGACAAGGCUAAAGGAGCAAGCAUUGUCCAAAGCUAGCCCACUGUAUGGUUUUGCAAACUAUCCUGUUAAGGUGAAAGGCUCGACCACUUUACCUGUCACCUUGGGGGAUAACGAGCAUACAACUAUGGAGUAUGUCCAGUUCUUUGUUGUAGACCAUCCCAUGAAGGACAAUGCUAUCUUUGGGCUACCAAUAAUGAGGAUGAAAAAAUCGGUUACUACAACGUUCUACAUGAAUAUUAAGUUUUCAACAAGGAUGGUGGUUGGAUUUUUGAGAUUGGAUCAGUGAAUUACGAGGUAAUAACAUAUGUUGUUGGUUAAGCAAUUCCAAGAGCCAGUAGUUAGAGGAUAGAGUUCGCGGGGGACAGAGUUACCAAGUCAAGUCUUGGACUUGAAUAACGUGGAUGUGAGGGAUGAAGAAAGAAGUAAGAAGCAGUAGAGCAUACUGAGACUUUACAACUAUUCUGUGACAAUGAGGAAAGAAUUGUAAAGAUUUCAUCAGCGUUGGUAACAGAAGACAAGAGCAUAUUGAUUCGGUGUGUGAAGGAAAACUCAGACGUUUUUGCUUGGUUAGCGGCAGACAUGCCAGGGGUAGACCCUCAAGUGAUCGUCCACAAGCUAAAUGUGCUCCCAGGGUCAAAAUCGGUUAAGCGGAAAAAAGAAAGUUCAUUCUGCAAGUGGUAGAGACAAUAAAACAAGAGGUAGCUAAACUAUUAUCAGUAAGUUUUAUCAGGGAGGUUAAGUAUACAGAAUCAGUUUCAAAUGUAGUUAUGGUGAAAAAAGCAAAUGACAAAUGGAGAAUGUGUAUUGAUUUCACUAACCUUAAUAAGGCAUGCCUUAAGGACAGUUUCCCUCUACCUUCAAUUGACCGUUUGGUUGAUGUCUCUACAGGUCACAGAUUUAUAAGCUUUAUGGAUGCCUUCUCGGGCUAUAACCACAUAUUGUUGGAUCAGGAUGGCCAGGAAAAGAUAUCAUUUAUCAUUGAAGAAUGACUUUUCUUAAAACACCCUAUACCCGACCUGGUCGCCAAGCCUAGAUACGGGAUGCCACACCACUAUCCCAUCUUAUGUCCAUCGAAUAGGAAGCUAGAUUCAAGCAAACCAGUCAUCUUUUGUUAACUCGUAUAAGUUUUAAGACGUCUCAACAGUUAGUUAACAUUGUUACUUGCAAAUAAUAUGUUAAUCAAUCAUAAACUCUACCAAAGUUAUGUAUAAGAGCUAAUUAGCAAAAUUUCAUAGAAAUGUCCAUAGGUAUCUAUAUUGAUAUUCAAGUAUCGAUAUUUCCCUUUAUUGGUAUUGAUACCACUUGUAAAAAUGAUACCAAAUGAACUUAUUGUUUCUCGAUUAAAAAACCCAACUAUCGAAAACUAUCGGUACCACUGAACCAAGUAUCGAUAUUUAUUCCCUGAGUAUUGAUACUCAAGCAAAAGUAUCCAUACCUGUAAUACCCAAAAUUUUUUACAAUAAAAUAUUAUCUUUGAUAAAAUAAAACAAGGAAAUAAAUCGACAAAAAGGGGAAAUUUUGGAGUUAUGUCAACAUUGGGAAGUAUAUUAUGACAUAUUAGUUCAAGAAAGGAUUAAAUCGCAAAAGUGAGAAAAGUUUUAUUGCCCAAUAGUAAAUACUGAAAAAUUGAGGGGUUAAAGUGUAAAUAUAAAAAGUUGAAGGACUAGUGGUGUAAAUAGUUUAAGGGUGGAAUGAUCUAGAAAAUAAGGAAAAUGGAUGGAUUAGGACCAAAUUGAAAAAGGUAAAGAAUUUUAAGGGACUAAAUUGCAAUUUUACCAAAUUAAGUGAUGACUCAAGGAUGGAAUUUUAAGAGAUCAUAAAGGGUAAAAUGGUCAAUUAGAAGAGAGAGAAAUCUAGAAGAUAAUGAUGAUGUUGGAGAUAUUUUAUAUUAAUUAAUUAAAUAAAUAUUAGUUUAUUUGUAUUUUAAUUUAAUUUUUAAAUGAUAUUUUAUUAUUUUAUUAUUAUUUUAUUUAGUAUAUAUAUAAGAAAAGGAAGAUGAAGAAGCAUGCAACCCACCAUUUUUCCAUGCACCAACGUGAGAAAAAGAGAGAAAGAAAGAAAGUUUUGCUUUCUUUACAAUUUGGUCCUUCCACCAAAAAUUCACCAUUUUCAUCUAGAAAUCAAAAGAAUUUUCAUAGCCACCAGGAGAGAAAAUUGAUAAGGAGAAUAUUGGGAGCUAGAAUAUCAAGUUCGAUUCAAGAAAUAAAGGCUGGAGGAGAGAGAAAAUCAAGUUAGAGAUUGAAAUCAAUAGAACAAGGUAAGAACAUUAAGAUUUCAAUAUAUUUUUGAGCUUGAUAUUAUUGAAAAAGUAGGGAAUUUAUGUUAAUGUAGGGAUUUAUUAUAUAAGGUUCUAUAUUCUUGAUAUGUUAGUGAAGGGAAACAAGAGGAAUUGAUAGAAAAUAUUGUAGAGAAAAGAAAGGAGGGUGUUAUAAAUUUGAUUAUUAACAUUUUGCACUAAAACAGUUUUGGACAGCUGCAGUAGGUUAAUUUUGAAAAAUCACCAUAAAUUGUGGAAAUUGAAUUAUAGAGUGAAUAAGAUAUUAAAUGAAAUUUUAAUGAGUCUAUUUCUACAUAAAAUAAACAGAGCAAGUAAAAGAGUUAUAUAUUUUGAGAUAUUUGACUUUUAGUUAGGAAGGGUCAGAUUGAUUUUGGAAUCCCCUGUUCUAACUUUUAUAAAUCAUUAUAAAUUGUAAAAAAUAAUUAUAAUUUUUAAUUUAUAUUAUUAAAUUCCUUAAUGAGUCUAUUUUCAAGAGAAAUAAACAAAACUACCAUCAGAAUUUUGUACUAAGAGAUAUUUGAUUUUUAGUGAAGAGAGGUCAGAAAUGGCGGGCAGUGAAACAAGGGAAUCUUUAAAGAAUAAACUGUACCAAUUGGCUAAACUAAAAAUUCUGAAAAUUUCAUGGUAAAUAUAUAUAUGAGUCUAGUUUUAGGGAAAUUAACAGUGCAUAAUUUUAAAUUCUGUAGCUCCAGAUAAAAAUAAUUUAGUGAUACUGACUCGGAUAGAUAGCUUUGAAUAUACUUAAGGGUGAAUAAUGAAACUUUAGAAAAUGUUAUUUCUAAGAGUGUUAAGUACAUUAAGGAUGUGGAAUGGAGUGGAGAAGGAGGAAAAAUAUAUAUGAAUAUUCUGAUAAUAUGAUUUUAUUUUAAAAAUAGCUAAUUUACAUAUUUUAGGUUUAGGGACUAAAUUGAAUAAAAGUAAAAUUGUUAGGGUAAUUUUGUAAAAAUGGAAAAAAUGACGAAAUUUCAAGAAUUGAAUAGUUUUAUUGUCUAAAUUAAUAAAUUGAAUGAAAUUAUUAAUUUAGAUCAAGAUCUCGUGGAAAGUCGAGGGAAAUGCAAAAUUUCCAAAAUGCCCCUAUAUCAUGGUAUUUAUGCAAUUUAGCCUAGUAAGUUUGUAUUACUGUAAUUCAAAUCUAAUUAUUAUUAAUUAUUGUGUUUUAAUUGAAAUACAUGGUAAUUAAAUGGAAAUUGCUAGUGAUAUGAUUUGAAUUGUGAGCAUGAGAAAUUGUGAACUGAAUGAAAUGGAAAUGAAGCAUUGAAUUGCAUGGGCAUGUAUCGGGUCUCGUAGGCCUAUUUAUUAUGAAUAUAAUAUUUUAAGGAUAUAUUGUGAAGAAUUAUAAAAGCAUGUUAAAAAAAAUUUUGAAAGUUUUAAUUUAGAUGAAAUUUUAUAACUAAGUUAAAUACAUUUACAAGUGUAUGUGUUCUAGUAAUGCCUCAUAACCUAUUCCGGCAUCGAAUACGGGUAAGGGGUGUUACAAUACCAAAUCUCUAUUUUGUUUCCUGUACGUUUUAAUUCACAUAGGUAUCAUGUAACACCUCUAACCCGUAUCCGUCGCUAAAACAGGGUUACGAAGCAUUACCGAAAUAUACAGAUCAAGUAAAUAGAUAUUUUAUUUUAUACAGUAUUCAUGUCAAAAAUCAAACAUAAAGUCCCUUAUAUGAACCUUCGAGGUCCAAAACAUGCAUUAGAAAUGAGUCGGGACUAAACUAGGUACUCAGAGAAUUUUUCGCAAAAUUUAAAAAAAAAUUCUUAGGUGCAAGGGUCACACAGCCAAGAGACACACCCGUGUCUCAGGCCGUGUAACUCUCUAACUUGGGUCACACGACCAAGACACACGCCCGUGUGCUAGGCCUUGUGUAAAUACCUGGGCAUUCUGUUUUAAAAUUUUAAAGAUGUAGGGGACACACGAGCAGGUCACACGCCCAUGUACUAGGCCGUGUGUCACACACGGCUGAGAUACACACCCGUGUCUCUGCCUGUGUGGACGAAAAUAGGCUAUUUUCUAAGCCAUAUUUAUCACCCUAUUUUAUCAUCCUCUUACACCAACACUUUAACACAUUCACAAGCUAUUAUAUGUCAUUUAACCCAACUCAAAAUUAAGUCCUAUACAUGAUAUAAUACCUCAUAUAAUCAAGUAUACACACUCACUUAAAUUACGAAGUACACAUAUAUGCAUAACUUAUCAAAUAUGCGAACUUAAUUCAAUCAUUAAUAUGCCAAUAUAAUUUCUAUCAAUCAACCAUUUCAACCACAUACCAAACAUAUCCAUCACAAGCCAUUCCAAUGGCUAGUUACAAUUAAAGCAUUUAUAUGCCGAUAUUGACCAAUUAACCUAUACAUGCCAUUAUAACCAUAAUUAAUUUACCAUAUAUAUUUACCAAAAUGGGCUGAUAGAUAGUGUGAGUGAUCUCUGUCAAGCUUUCAAUCCAACGUAUAAAACAGGGGAAAAUAAAACAGAGUAAGCAUGAAAUGCUUAGUAAGUUCGUAUAACAUGGUAAUUAACUUACCAUUUAUUUAAAUUCAAUAUAAACAUACAAGGCACAGUCAAUCAACUUGAUCACGAGCCCUAACACAUAUCUUCAUUACCCUUGUUAGUCAUAUAAUUCAUAUAAAUAUCAAGAAACAUGUAUGGGCUCAACAAUAAUUAGAUUUCCAUGUACAUAUACUUUCCACAUCAUGUAUUUAUAUAACAUAUAAAAAUCAUAUCCUUGGAUUUCAAGUACAUUUUCAUAAUAAUUCGUCUUGAGUUCAGAUUAUUUCAUAUCGAAACUUUGCCCAUUAAAUCAUUUGAAAUGUCAGUGUCACAUGGGUAAUACACUCAAGGUGUACAAAUCUAUAAUUAUGGAUGAACAUAUUCAUCAAACAAAUUCCAUGUUCAUAUAUUAUCAUCUCGUAUUUCCAUAUAUAUUGUAUCAUCAUUUUCAUGCAUUUCAGGUAGAUACGUGUAUUAAUUCAUUUCAUGUUCAUAUUUUCUCAUGUCAGGAUUUUGACUUUUGAAUCAUUGAAAACAUCGAUGGAUACACAGGUAGUACACUCGAAGUGUACAAAUUAGAAAUCUGUCAAUUCAUAUUCAGAAGUGCUCUUUAAAGCACAUAAUCGGGAAAUCCUCUCUUAAGCCAUAUAACAGGAAGCUCACAAAGAGCCAUUAAUCGGGAAGCUCACAAAAAGCCUAUCAGGAAGCUUAUCCGGGCUAUAUAAUAGGAAGCUCAUAAGAGCCAUAAUUAGGAAGUUUACAAAGAACUUUUAAUCAGAAAGCUCACAAAGAGUAUUUAAUUAGGAGCUCUAAAUAGCCAUAUAUCAGGAAGUUUAAGUGAGUCAUAUCAGGACGCUCACAAAGAGCUACGUUUGUGUCUGCAAUAUAUAUAGGAUCACAACCGAUCAUAUAACAGGACGUUCACAAAAAGCUACAGUAGUCCGCAACACAUGUAAGAUCACUACAGAUCAAGAUGCUUGCAAGAACCAUAUAAUGAGAAGCUCGAGAGAGCUUAUAACAGGAUGCUCGUAGGAGCUAUGGUGUGUCCGCAACACAUGCAGGACCACAACCAAUCAAGAAAUCCUAUAUCCAUCGAUUUCCAUUAUUCAAACGGGAUUUAAUAUUUAUCGGGCUUUGUCGGAUAUGUAACCAAUUUCAUAUAUUUGGCAUUUAUACAAUUCACAUACACAACAUUUAAUUCAAGCAUAUAAAUAUACAAAAUUUAGUUACGCGAACUUACCUUGACAAAUGUUCGUGUAUGUAAAAUCUACUAACCCGACAUUUUCUCUUUUCCUCGUUCUAACUCCGAAUUUGGUCUAUCCGAAUCUAUAUGAAUGAAUUUAACAUUAAUUCAUGUUCAUUUCAAUUCAAUUCACAUCUUAGGCAAAAUUAUCAUUUUGCCCCUAAACUUUUAAUUAAUGAUAAUUUUGUCCCUAAGCUCGAAAAAUGAAAUUUAUGCAAUUUAAUCUUUAUUCCAAGUCUAGCCAAUUUUUACAUGUAAAAUUUAUAGCCCAUGUAUUUAAUAAAAUCCAAAAUUUUUCCAUGAAUUUUACAACUUUUCAAUUUAGUCCCUAAAUCAUAAUUUCAUCAAAAUCCCCUUUGCAAAAGUUGUUUAUCUACUAAUAACCUUUCAUUUUCUACCAUAAAACUUCAUAAUUCAUCUAUGUUCAUCCAUGGAAAAACCCUAGUACCUUGAUAACUUUGCAAAUUAAGCUAUUACGAUCUCGAAAAUAUAAAAAUCAUUAAAAAUGGGAAAGAAUACUUACCUAAUCAAGCAAAAUAAAUUGGCUUGAGCUUAGGUUUCCAUGGCUAGGGUUUCCAUGCUUUUAAUUUGGGAAAGAUGAUAUAAAUGAUGAUAUUUUAAUUUUUUAUCAUUUAUCAUCUUUUAUUAUUUCAUUUUCCAAUUUCAUCCCUUUCUUUAUUUUAUUUUCCAUGGAUGAAUCAUCAUCCUUAACCACUAAGUAUUUUUAAUGGUCUAUUUGCCAUAUAAGGACCUCAAAUUUUGAAUUCCAUAGCUAUUUAAUCCUUUUAGCUAUUAGAACUCAACUUUUGCACUUUGUGCAAUUGGUCCUUUAUCAAAUUAAACAUGUAAUCGGUAAAAUUUCUUUACAAAAUUUUUAUACGACAUUACUAUCAUACUAUAGACCAUAAAAUAAUAUAAAAAUAAUUUUUCUUCCAAAACCGAAUUUGUGGUCCUGAAACCACUUUCCGAUUUUACCGAAAACUGGCUGUUACAUAUCAUAUUUCAAAGUUAUUUCCACUUAUUCUACUUUGGUGAAGUAGUUCCUUAUGAAACAUAUUUCGCAAAACAUCUCUCAUAAUGCAAUUUAUUCUUAACAAAAAAUUCUUUUUGGACGAGAUUUAUUCCCGAAUUAAGGUUAUUUUGAUUUGUUCCAAACGUGAGUUGUUCUCAACAUGAAAAUUACUUUGGAUAAGAGUUGUUCCAUAGUGAUACUUUUCUUUGAAGAACUUGUUCUAAUAAUGGUCCUGGUUCUAAAUAGAAAUUGUUUCAAAUAACUAUUGUUUUGAGCAUAAUUAUUCUUGAAAUGCAAUUAUAUAAAUGAUACUUAUUCUGUAACACCCUUAACCCGAAUUUGUCACUGGAAUAAGGUUACGGAGCAUUAUCGAAGUUUACAAAUUAAUUAUCAGACAUUUCAUUUCAUCUAGCAUUCAUAUUAGAAACCAAUCAAAAUCAUACAUAUUGUACCUUAAACGAGCCAUCGAGGCCCAAAUUACAUAUUAGAAACAAAUAGGGACUAAAUCAAAGGCACAGAAAAUUUUUCAAAAAUAUUUAAAAUUUUCAACACUGCAAGGGUCACACGGCCGUGUCUUAGCCCGUGUCCGAGUCCAUGUGAGUAUACUGACUUGGGUCACACGGCCAAGUCACACACCCGUGAGCUAGGCCGUGUGAGCAUUCUGUUUUGUGCAAAUAUAAGAUACAGGGGACACACAGCUGUGUCACAUGGCUGUAUGUCAAGCACGGUUGAGACACACACUCGUGUCUCUGCCCGUGUGGAUGAAAAUUGAUCAUUUUACAAGCCAUAUUUCUCACCCAAUUCUAUGUUAAUCUAUACAUGCCAUUAUAACCAAAAUCAAAACAUUUGAAAGUACCGAUAGAACCAAUGGAUAGUGUGAUACAACUCCGACAAGCUUCCAACUUAAUUGAGCUUCCGAUAAUCUGAAAAGUAAAGGAAAACACAUACAUAAGAACUGAAUGAUUAGUAAGCUCAUAUAACUUUAAUCAUAAUAUUUCUUUUCAAAUAUGAAAUUUAAACAUAUCAAGAAUAAUCCAAUAUUGAUACCACAAUACUUAUAACGUUAUAUUUAAUAGCUCACUAAGUGAAUAAAUCUACAAUAUCACUAUAUAUAUAUAUAUAUAUAUAUAUAUAUAUAUAUAUAUUAUUCCUAACAUAGUAGGAAUUUUAAACAACUCUUCCAAAAUUUCUUUAUUUUCAUUUGUGUUUCUUUACCUUCCACACUUAUUCCAUAUGUACAACACACCAGUUAUAAGCAUAUCAUUCAACCAUAGCCACAAGCUAGUGCAUUUAAACAUAGACCUUUUUUGAAUUGAUCACAUGAUAACUCAUUUAAUAAGAAAUUGCAUAACCUAAACCUUACCACUCUUUCAUGAGCACAAGCAUAUUUCCAUUUAAGCACUUACCAUUUCAAUGCACCUUAUAAUUAAACAUAUUACCCUUAUUUUUAAAAAAAAAUUUUGAAUAAUAACAAAUGUAAUAUUUAAAACGAUAUGUAUUUAUCUUAUUUGGGGUAUAAUAUAAAGACCGCCAAUUAUAUUUAAGCAUAAUGCAUGAUGUAGUGAUGAUGACUAUAUGGAUAGAAUAUUGGAAUGAUAAAAUAUAAAUAAAUAAAGGUAUACUUUAAUAAUAAUAAAAUAAUCAUUAAACAAAUAGAUAAAGUAACUUAAAAUAAAAUAAACAAAAAAUACAUGAUUGAAAAGACACGACUUAAAAAUGCCAAAAAUAAUAAAAGGAAUAAUAAAAUAACAGAAAAAAUAAAAUAAAAUAAUAAUGAGAUAAUAAUGACAAUAUAACAAUAUGUACAAAUAUGAACAAUAUGAAUUUUAAAAUAAAAAGCAAGGCAAUAAUAAUAAAUAAAUAAAUAAAUAAAAUCCAAUGACUGAAAUUAAAUAAAUAAAGGAUUUAAUUGAAAUUUAAAUGAAACUAGGGGUAUAAAUUGCAAAUAAUAAAAUUAGGUGAAUAAGGAUUAAAAUGUAACGCGCUAAAAAGGAUAGGGACUAAAAAGGAAAAUAUCAUUUGUCCUUAUGCGCAUCGUUUCUUAGGUGGACCAAAAUAAAAAAGAAAUGAAAUUUUAUGGAAAAAUUUGUAAAUAUAUAAAAAUAGAUAGGACGAGAUUGAAAAAUAAAUAAAAGGCGGAAGGGUCGAGACUGCAAAUAACCCAUUGGUCACGAAAACACGCAGAUCUUAGCUACUUUCGGGUCGAGUCUCAGGUUUGAGUCAAAACGAUGUCAUUUUGACGUCUGCAAAUCGGCCCAAAAUGGUGUCGUUUUAUACCAUAUAUUUAAGCCAACAAUCUUCCAAAAAAAUUUCAUUUCUGCCUUUAAAAUUAAAGGGCCUAUUUUGGCCGUUUCAUUUCCCUCGGCCUCGAUCUGAGGCUAAAAUACCCAAGCAACCCACCAAAAUUCAGAAAAAGAAAGAAAAAAACAAAGGGACCUUCCGGUUCCUAGUCACUCCCGACGAGGUUUUCAGCCACCUUCUAGACCAGAGAAAUCUCUGGCGACGGCGGUUAAGGUAAAACCUUUCGUAUUUUUUUAUAUAUAUCUCUCUAUAUAAAUACAAUAUGUUUUAAAAGAAAAUAAAUAUGCCAAGGAGAAACAAAUACCUUUCUUAAAAACUAUUAUGAGUUUUUUAUAUUUCUUCUGAUUGACUUUUUUUUUUUUUUGCGUAUAUAUCUCUGUAAAAAUUACAAACUGGGGUAUUGGCCUUUAUAGCCAUGAGUUACAUCAGAUUGCUAUUUUGUACUAUUCAUUUCCACUGUUUUUGUUACUAUUUUUGUUGGUUCUUUUGUUGUUUCUGUCUUCUCUCUUUGUCCUUUUCUGCAGGCAUCGGCGUGGUCAACGGAGGGCAAUGAGACGCGCACCUUCGCCAUUUUGGUGCAACGGUGGCAGCAAGGGUGCGUCAUGGCCUCAAGACGAGGCACCUCGGCGGCGUGCGAGUGAAAGGGAGGAGCGGCAAAGAGGGACUUAGGGUUUUUUGGUUUACCAGAAACGUUUAAGUCUUUCGGGCCAUUGGGCCUCUUUUUCAUUUGGGCCUGUAAAUUUGGACUGUUAUUAUUUUUCUUUUUGGUUUGGUUUAUUUUUAUUCGGGCCAGAUAAAAUUGGCCUGUUACAAUUACGUUUAUUUUCUUUAAAUUAAGAGUUAUUUUUUAAUUUAAUUUAAUGUAUUAUUUAUUUUAUUAUUUUCCACAUGUAAUUAUCUUAUUGUAUUAUCUAAGUAAUAAAUUACAUCUCAUUAAAAAUGUUUCACAUAUAAAAUUCCACAUCAUCUCCAUUAACUUUUUUAAUGGUACUUUCAUUAAAUCUAUUAAAAAAUACAGAUUAAAAAAAAAAGAACAAAGGUUGAUGACUCAAAAAUGCAAUUAGAGCCAUUUUGACAAAACAUGGAAACGUUAGUAGCUAAAUUUGUCAUUAAGCCUAAAAAAUUAAUAAACGUUCUUUAUAGGAUAUUUGAAAAGAAAAUUAGAUAAAAAGGCACAUAAAUAUUUAGUCUUAUUUAUAGGAUUUUUAAAAAAAAAUUUACUAAAAAUGCAUAGGAAAAUAACUCCUAUUUUUAUUGUAUCAGAAUAAUUUUUUCUUAUUUACACUAAAGUAAUUAAGUAUAAAAUUAAAAAUUAAUUAUUGUUCUAAGAGAUUACAAGUACAAUUACAAUUAUAAACUUAAAAAAUAGGUUUAUUUCUAUCGAAUUCGAAUUUAAAUAUUUGAAUUCAAAUCCUACCCAUAUUUUAAAUAGAUUUAAUUUUUCUAGGAGUUUUUAAAUUUUGAUGGACAACUUAAUCCUUCAAUCGAUCUAAAAUAAAAUGAUAAAGCUUAAAAGGAUUUGCUUUUUGGAAUAUAUUUUUUUAAAAUUUAAGAAUAAAUUUACAUUGAAAAAGAAGGGUUGAUGUGUAAUGAAAAAAAAAACAUCGCAUAAUAUUAUUGGAAGGACUAUAUCGUAUACUAUAAGAAGAGUUUACCGAAUAAUUUCUUUAAUUGGAAGAGAUUACAUUACAUUAUCAAAGUUUGAGCAUCAAUUUUUUAGUUCUAAUUGCUAAAAAAAACAUUAUCUGUACUUAUUAUAAAAAUUUUAAUAAACCUUAUGUUACGGGUUAAUCAGAUACUAACUCGGUUGAAAAAAAAUUAAUACAUUUUUUUAAAUGACUAUUAUGAUGAUUCUUCUGUCCUUUUAAAAUUAAGGGACCGCAAAGGGUUCGGAUUUUUUUUCUGGUUGGGCCUUCAAACAGAGAUUGCUUACUCAAAUAGAGCGACUAAGGCGUGGUGUGGGAAGUGAAGCAAGGUGUCUAAUCUGUGGCCAUGAAACAGAGGAUGUUCUUCAUGCUAUAAGGGAUUGUGAUGCAGCGAAACAGGUAUGGUUCUGCAUCGUCCCUCCCCAUAACCUAACCUUUUUCUUUUCAAGUAAUUUACCGGAGUCGCUUGAAUGCAAUUUGGAUAAUCGACUCAAUUUAACCUGGAGGAAUGUCAAUUGGCCGUGCUUCUUUGGAAGAACAAGAAUAUAUACACCUUUAACGGGGUCCAGUGCACAUAGUUGGGCCAACCAAUACAUUUCAUCUUGCAAGGAAGGAACCCCAAUGAGAUUGAGCUCGAGAGAAUAGACAGUAAAAACAAGAAGAUUGAGUCGAUUAAGAUCCGAUGGAGCCAUUAAAUUUAACACAGGUUAUGCUGCAACAGGUGGUGUAUUGAGAGUCACAGUGGCAAAUGCUUACUCGGGUUCAAUUGCAUAUUAGGUAAAUGUUCUAUUUUUGAAGCUGAAUUGUAGGGCAUCCUCAAUGGUGUGAUGUUGACACAAGGCAGAAUACAUGAUAGAAUUGUGAUACAAUCAGACAAUAUGGAAGUUACCGGAGCUAUCAAUGAGUCCUUGAGGGGAUCAAAUUCUGCAUUAAUCAGGCAUAACUUACCGCUUUUGCAAAAUGAGGAAAAUUUGUUGAUUGAAUAUGUUCCUAGAGACGAAAACAGAGAAACUGAUAGUAUUACCAAGCUGGCCUUUAGCAGGGAGGAGGGUCUACAGUUAUAUGAAACUUCUCCUCUUGAAACUUCUAGUAUUUCAUAAUAGUUUCCAUUUUUUUCACCAAAAAAAAAAGAAAUAAAAACCAUAUAUCAAAAAAUCGAACUUAGAUAAAAUUUAUAUACAAUUUUUUUUUUCAGAAAUGUUUUUUCUUAUAACAUAACCUAUUAAUUAUUUUAAUAACACCAAACAUUAUUGCUAACAUAACAUUACAACAUUAUAGCAUUCGCCAAAAACUUAAAUGAGAAAUUAGGAAGAGUAAUCGAGCUCGAGUUCUUUGUUGCUCAGACUCGAUAAAAUGAGAGCUAUAUUUGUGUCGACAGGGAAUAUGUGUUGGAUUUGUCGGAUUCUUAUAAUUGAGUAAGAAAAGAAAAAGGAAAAAUAAAAAGAAGAUGGAAAAGAAAGAAACAGGCAAACAAAAUCAAAUGAAAAUCGAGAAAAUAAAGUUGAAUGUGUCCAAAACAAGUAGAAUGCUUUAUCUUUUCAACGUCAAUUUCAUGUGAAUUACUAUUCCUUCAAUUUGGUUUGUCUUUUGCAAUCAUUACAAUAUUUGAUUACAAUGUACUCUAAGGUGAUAAUCAAGUUUCUUGUAGAUUAAUCAAUAAUCUCUAGUAGAAGAGCCUAGUUACUACUACUCACUCUCCAUCAACUUUCCUCCAAAUAUAGCACUAAUGUUUGUUUUGAGAAACUACCUCUCUUCUUUUGUUCUCAGUUUGUUUAGAGGUGUGUUAAUUGGCCAGCCUUUCUGCGACAAAAAUGAAUCUUGAAAAUCUCCGAAGUACCAAGUAAAUCCCAUCGAUUUCUUCAACUUAGCUCCUAAGUUCCAAUGGUUAGAUUCGAUAAUGAGACAUCCUCCUCUUCCUCCUCCUCCUCCUCCUCCUCCUCCUCCUCAUCAUCAUCAUCAUCAUUGGAAUCAUCUUCUUCAGUUUCUCGAGGGAAAUAUGAUGUUUUCUUGAGUUUCAGAGGUGAGGAUACCCGCAGGAAUUUCACGGAUCAUCUUUAUGCUGCAUUCAAAAGGAGAGGAAUCACCACUUUUAGGGAUGACGAAAAGCUCAAGACAGGUGAACCCAUAGCACCUGAGCUCUUCAAAGCAAUUCAUGAGUCAUGGUGCUCUGUAAUCGUUUUGUCGGAAGGGUAUUGUUUUUCGAGUUGGUGCCUAGAAGAGCUUUCCGAGAUUAUUCAACAGAAAAACGACAAGGGACAUAAUGUCUUCCCCAUUUUCUAUUAUGUGGAUCCAUCUGAUUUGAGAAAACAAACCGGAAAAGUUCUAGAAGCUUUUAUUAAGCAUGAAAAUAAUUUCCAGGACAACAAAGAGAAGACACAAAGGUGGCGAUCUGCUUUAACUCAAGUAGCUAACAUCAAAGGAUGGCACUUGAGUAACAGGUAACUAUCAUAUUCUUUCACUUCAAUAAUAUCUUACCAGCAUCAAGAUUGAAAUUUGAGGCAUUAGCUAAGGACUGUGCCCUUAAUGUUUCACUAAGCUAUUUCCUUUGCUUUGUAUUUGAAGGCAUGAAUCAGAACUUAUUGGAGAAAUCAUUGAAAAGGUAUCAACAAAAUUAUGUCAAACAUUUGCAAGUGCUCCUAAUGACAUGAUUGGAAUUGAAUCACGUUUGGAAGAGUUAAAUUGCAAAAUAGGCAUAGGGGAGGAAGAUGAUAGUGUUCGGAUUAUAGGGAUUUGUGGUAUGGGCGGGUUAGGUAAAACAACUCUUGCAAGAUCUGUUUAUACCCAAAUUUCAAGUCAUUUUGAAGGCCAAAGCUUUCUGGCCGAUGUUCGUGAAGUUGCGGAGAAACAUGGACUUGUUUGUUUGCAGAAACAACUUCUUUCCCAAAUUUUUCCAGAGGAAAGUUUCAACUUUUUUAAUGUUCAUGAUGGGAAUGACAUCAUACGUCAUAUGUUAUCUCAUAAAAGGAUUUUUGUUGUUAUUGAUGAUGUCGAUAACAUACAACACUUAAAACGUUUAUUAGGCAAGCGAGCUUGGUUUGGUUUAGGAAGCAGGAUCAUCAUAACAACAAGAGACGAGCAUCUGCUGCAAAUCUACGGAGUGGAUGAUGUGUAUAAUCCGACGAAAUUGAAUGCCAAGGAAGCACUUCGCCUUUUCAGUUUGAAAGCUUUCAAAAGUGAAACACCUGCAAUGGAAUUUUUUGAGCUUUCUAAACGUGUAGUGGAAUAUGCCAAUGGCCUUCCGUUAGCUCUUGAAGUUUUUGGUUCUUUUCUGUCUGGCAGAUCAGAUGAAGCUCAAUGGAGAAGUGCUAUUGAAAGACUUAAAAAGAAGUCCAACAAAGAAAUUCUAGACAGGCUUCAAAUAAGCUUUGAUGGGUUAGGACAAUCGGAGAAAGAUAUAUUUUUAGAUAUUGCAUGCUUCUUCAAAGGAGAAGACAAAGAUAUGGUAACCAAAAUUCUCGAUGGUUGUGGCUUUUUCCCGGAUAUUGGAAUAGAUGUUCUCAUCAAGAAAUCUCUUGUAACAAUCGAUGAAGACAACAAAUUGUCGAUGCACGACUUGUUACAAGAGAUGGGAAGGAAAAUUGUUUACCAAGAAUCUCCUAAUGAACCUGGAAAACGUAGUAGAUUGUGGGACGAAAAGGAUACGAAUUAUGUGCUAAUAGAAAAC
rnacentral:lncRNA from 1 species